rnacentral:rRNA from 1 species
CCUUACUUAUUGAGGGCUUGUAUGAUGGUUGGACAAAAAGCGGACUGUCUCAAUUGCAAUUCAUUGAAUUUAACUUUUAAGUGAAAAGGCUUAAAUAAAUUAAGGGGACGAUAAGACCCUAUAAAGCUUUACAAUAAAUUACUUAUAUUAUAAACUGUUAGUAUAACUUGAUUUUAGGUAAUAUUUGUUGCGUUGGGGGGACGAGAAUAUAAG